GUCUAUUAUGAAGUUGUUAAUAGUCUGGCCUGCUCCCUGAUUAUAAAUUAAAGAGCCGCGGUAAUUUGACCGUGCAAAGGUAGCAUAAUCAUUAGUUUCUUAAUUGGGAACUUGUAUGAAAGGUUUGACAAAGAAAAAGCUGUCUUUAUUAUAAAAAUUGAAUUUAACUUUUAAGUGAAAAGGCUUGAAUGAUUUAGAGGGACGAUAAGACCCUAUAAAGCUUUAUAUAAAAAAUAAUUAAGAUUGAAUUUACAAUAAUAUUCUGAAUUAAUUAUAUAUUUUGUUGGGGUGACAUUAAUAAAAUUAAUAUUAACUGUUAAAAGAAGAUACAUAAAUAAAAGGGUUAAAACUAUUAGUGAUCCUUAUUUAAAGAUUAAAAGAUUAAGUUACUUUAGGGAUAACAGCGUAAUUUUUCUUAAGAGCCCAUAUCGAAAGAAAAGAUUUCGACCUCGAUGUUGAAUUAAGAUAUCUGUGUAGAGUAGCCGUUACAUAAGAAGGUC
rnacentral:rRNA from 1 species